rnacentral:sRNA from 1 species
UGCACUCGGCCGAGCGGCCGGUGGUGCGAAU